CAAAGCAACUAAUAAUCAAACACAAAUUAUAAUUAUUUUUUUAAAAACAAUUCUUUUCUCAACAAAAAAAAAAUGGAGAUGAAGAAGAUUGCUUGUGUCACCCUAAUUGCUGCAGCCUCAAUUAGUGCAGCUAUGGCUCAAUUGCCCCCAAUUUCUGCACCUGCCCCUGCACCAACUAGUGAUGCCACAGCUGCAUUGCCUGCUCUGGGAACUUUGGUUGGGGCUACUCUUUUGUCCUUCUUCGCUUAUUACAUGCACUAAUUAAAUGUGUUCACACAAAAUGAGGGGGAAUGGAUUUUAAUCAUGGUGGGAGCAAGAAGAUCAAUUAGAAAACAAAACAAAAAAAUACGAAGGAAGACGAUGAAGAAUUGAAGGAAAUUCUAUUUGUGUAACAAAUUUUAUAUAUAUGAUCAUCGCCAACAAAAUAAAAUCAUUAUUUUGUGGUAUAUUAUUAUAUUAUUAUUGUGAGUUUUUGCUAUGAAUGCUGCAUUUAUUAUUUUGCAUUGAUUUGUAAUUAAUGGCGAGAAAUCGAUCAACGUUGUGAGUUUUUGCUAUGAAUAUUGUGUC
rnacentral:lncRNA from 1 species